rnacentral:rRNA from 1 species
UUGAAGUCCCGUAUGAAAGGCAUCACGAGAGUUUAUCUGUCUUUAUUUUCUAAUCAAUGAAAUUGAUCUUCUCGUGCAGAAGCGAGAAUAAAAACAUAAGACGAGAAGACCCUAUGGAGCUUUAAACACUUAAGUUAUUUUUAAACAUUAAAACUUUCCCCACCUUCGGGCACAAACACAAAAAAUAAUUUCCUAACUUAACUUGUU